UAAGGAAUAUUGGUCAAUGGACGCAAGUCUGAACCAGCUAUGCCGCGUGAAGGAUGAAGGUCCUCUGGAUUGUAAACUUCUUUUAUCUGGGACGAAAACGGGAUUUUUAUCUCAAUUGACGGUACCAGAGGAAUAAGCACCGGCUAACUCCGUGCCAGCAGCCGCGGCAAUACGGAGGGUGCGAGCGUUAUCCGGAUUUACUGGGUUUAAAGGGUGCGGAGGUGGGCUUAUAAGUCAGUGGUGAAAUCUCCGAGCUUAACUUGGAAACUGCCGUUGAUACUAUAGGUCUUGAAUUAUCUGGAGGUAAGCGGAAUAUGUCAUGUAGCGGUGAAAUGCUUAGAUAUGACAUAGAACACCGAUUGCGGAGGCAGCUUGCUACGCAAAUAUUGACGCUGAGGCACGAAAGCGUGGGGAUCAAACA
rnacentral:rRNA from 1 species